rnacentral:snoRNA from 1 species
AAGAUUACACUUUCAGGGAUCAUUUCUAUAGUUUGUUAAAAGACAAAUGUGGGAAUGGAAUAGCAUAGCAGAAGCCCCAAUGCAGGAAAAAGAAGGCAGGCCAAAGUCAGCUAGCCAAGGGGC